CACCGCAGAACAAUCACACACACCAAGAAUACAGAGCCCUGCAUCCCCUUUGCACAAAAGCCUGCUGCUUCCCGCCGCCACCACCAGCUCCUGCCACUUCCAUCUCCCAGAGUUCUCCUGAAUCCACGCACCCUCUCCAUCCCAACAGCCACCGCCUCGUCCAAAGCACUGUCAUCGCCCACCGGGCAGUCGGCUUCCGACCCAUUUA
rnacentral:misc_RNA from 1 species